CCUACGGGUGGCUGCAGUGAGGAAUAUUGGUCAAUGGACGAGAGUCUGAACCAGCAAAGUAGCGUGAAGGAUGACUGCCCUAUGGGUUGUAAACUUCUUUUAUAUGGGACUAAAAUGUUCCACGUGUGGGAUUUUGUAUGUACCAUAUGAAUAAGGAUCGGCUAACUCCGUGCCAGCAGCCGCGGUAAUACGGAGGAUCCGAGCGUUAUCCGGAUUUAUUGGGUUUAAAGGGAGCGUAGGUGGAUUGUUAAGUCAGUUGUGAAAGUUUGCGGCUCAACCGUAAAAUUGCAGUUGAAACUGGCAGUCUUGAGUACAGUAGAGGUGGGCGGAAUUCGUGGUGUAGCGGUGAAAUGCUUAGAUAUCACGAAGAACUCCGAUUGCGAAGGCAGUUCACUGGACUGCAACUGACACUGAGGCUCGAAAGUGUGGGUAUCAAACAGGAUUAGAUACCCUAGUAGUC
rnacentral:rRNA from 1 species